AAUCGCAGUGACGACUCCGAAAAUUCAAGCUCAACAGACCGGAUUGCAGGUCGGUCUCUAUACGGGGAUCGUUAUUUGCAUGUCGAUAACCCCGCUGAACUGAGCGAUU